GUGGGGAAUUUUGGACAAUGGGCGCAAGCCUGAUCCAGCCAUUCCGCGUGCAGGAUGAAGGCCUUCGGGUUGUAAACUGCUUUUGUACGGAACGAAAAGCCUCUGGUUAAUACCCGGGGGUCAUGACGGUACCGUAAGAAUAAGCACCGGCUAACUACGUGCCAGCAGCCGCGGUAAUACGUAGGGUGCGAGCGUUAAUCGGAAUUACUGGGCGUAAAGCGUGCGCAGGCGGUGAUGUAAGACAGUUGUGAAAGCCCCGGGCUCAACCUGGGAACUGCAUCUGUGACUGCAUUGCUGGAGUGCGGCAGAGGGGGAUGGAAUUCCGCGUGUAGCAGUGAAAUGCGUAGAUAUGCGGAGGAACACCGAUGGCGAAGGCAAUCCCCUGGGCCUGCACUGACGCUCAUGCACGAAAGCGUGGGGAGCAAACAGGAUUAGAAACCCUGGUAGUCC
rnacentral:rRNA from 1 species